UACGUAGGGGGCAAGCGUUGUCCGGAAUCAUUGGGCGUAAAGAGCGUGUAGGCGGCCCGAUAAGUCCGCCGUGAAAGCCCAGGGCUCAACCCUGGGAUGCCGGUGGAUACUGUCGGGCUAGAAUCCGGAAGAGGCGAGUGGAAUUCCUGGUGUAGCGGUGAAAUGCGCAGAUAUCAGGAGGAACACCGAUGGCGAAGGCAGCUCGCUGGGACGGUAUUGACGCUGAGACGCGAAAGCGUGGGGAGUAAACAGG
rnacentral:rRNA from 1 species